rnacentral:rRNA from 1 species
ACGGGAUAGUAACACGUGGGAACGCGCCCUUCGGUUCGGAAUAACUCAGGGAAACUUGAGCUAAUACCGGAUACGCCCUAACGGGGAAAGAUUUAUUGCCGAAGGAACGGCCCGCGUCCGAUUAGCUAGUUGGUGAGGUAAUGGCUCACCAAGGCGACGAUCGGUAGCUGGUCUGAGAGGAUGACCAGCAUCACUGGGACUGAGACACGGCCCAGACUCCUACGGGAGGCAGCAGUGGGGAAUAUUGGACAAUGGGCGCAAGCCUGAUCCAGCCAUGUCGCGUGGAUGAUGACGGCCCUAGGGUUGUAAAGUCCUUUUAACGGGGAAGAUAAUGACGGUACCCGUAGAAUAAGCCCCGGCUAACUUCGUGCCAGCAGCCGCGGUAAUACGAAGGGGGCUAGCGUUGCUCGGAAUUACUGGGCGUAAAGCGCACGUAGGCGGUUUCUUAAGUCGGUGGUGAAAUCCUGGAGCUCAACUCCAGAACUGCCUUCGAUACUGGGAAACUUGAGUUCGGGAGAGGUGAGUGGAACUGCGAGUGUAGAGGUGAAAUUCGUAGA